rnacentral:piRNA from 1 species
ACUUCCUGCUCCAAGGGUGUGAG